rnacentral:tRNA from 1 species
GGGGAUUUAGCUCAGUGGUAGAGCGCUUGCCUAGCAAGCGCAAGGCCCUGGAUUCGGUCCCCAGCUCUGGAAAAAAAAUUUUUUUAGGGGACUCCAGAGGUCCUGAGUUCAAUUCCCA